GCUGCAAAACGUUCUAUCGCUGCUCCAACCUACGGGCGGAGCGGAGGAAAGUCCGGGCAACAUAGAGCAUCCUGCUUCCUAACGGGAAGGCGCCGGCAGCCGGCGACAGCAAGUGCCACAGAAAAUAUACCGCCUUGUUUACAGGGUAAGGGUGAAAACGUGAGGUAAGAGCUCACGGCUUUCCCGGGCGACCGGGAUUGCGGUAAACCUCAGGGGUUGAAAAACCAAAUAGGUCUUGAAAGCGGGGCGGCUCGUCCCCUGUCCCGGGCAACCGGGGCCGUCAAGAUGGGUAGGUUGUUUAAGCCUGUCAGCAAUGGCAGGACCAGAUUAAUGAUAGAAGUCAUCGUUCGAUGAUACAGAACCCGGCUUACAGAUUUGCAGCUGAU
rnacentral:RNase_P_RNA from 1 species